GAUGAAGAACGUAGCGAAAUGUGAUAAGUAAUGUGAAUUGCAGAAUUCAGUGAAUCAUCGAAUCUUUGAACGCACAUUGCGCCCCCUGGUAUUCCGGGGGGCAUGCCUGUUCGAGCGUCAUUACAACCCUCAAGCUCUGCUUGGUAUUGGGCCCCGCCAGUUCUGGCGGGCCCUAAAGUCAGUGGCGGUGCCUUCCGGCUCCGAGCGUAGUAAUUCUUCUCGCUCUGGAGACCCGGUUGUGUGCUUGCCAACAACCCCCAAUUUUUUAAGGUUGACCUCGGAUCAGGUAGGGAUACCCGCUGAACUUAAGCAUAUCAAUAAGCGGAGGA
rnacentral:misc_RNA from 1 species